rnacentral:rRNA from 1 species
GGGUUGUGAGGUUAAGCGACUAAGCGUACACGGUGGAUGCCCUGGCAGUCAGAGGCGAUGAAGGACGUGCUAAUCUGCGAUAAGCGUCGGUGAGGUGAUAUGAACCGUUAUAACCGGCGAUUUCCGAAUGGGGAAACCCAGUGUGUUUCGACACACUAUCAUUAACUGAAUCCAUAGGUUAAUGAGGCGAACCGGGGGAACUGAAACAUCUAAGUACCCCGAGGAAAAGAAAUCAACCGAGAUUCCCCCAGUAGCGGCGAGCGAACGGGGAGGAGCCCAGAGCCUGAAUCAGUGUGUGUGUUA